rnacentral:rRNA from 1 species
GGCGGAGCGAAAGCGAGUCUGAAGAGGGCGAAGAGUCCUAGGCAAUAGACCCGAAGCGGAGAUGAUCUACCCAUGGCCAGGUUGAAACUUUGGUAAGACAAAGCGGAGGACCGAACCCGUGAACCUUGAGAAGUUCUGGGAUGAGCUGUGGGUUGGAGUGAAAGGCUAAUCAAAUUCCGUGAUAGCUGGUUCUCUUCGAAAUAUAUUUAGGUAUAGCCUCGUACGCUGAUCAUUGGGGGUAGAGCACUGAAAAGACUAGGGCCCACACCCGGGUACCAAACCUUAUCAAACUACGAAUACCAGUGAGUGAAGUACGGGAGUCAGGCAGUGGGGGAUAAGCUUCAUUGCCGAGAGGGAAAGAGCCCAGAUCACCGACUAAGGCCCCUAAACAUUGCUAAGUGGAAAGAAGGAAGUAGAUCUACCCAGACAAUAGGGAUGUUGGCUUAGAGGCAGCCAUCAUUUAAACAGUGCGUAACAGCUGACCUAUCGAGUGGGUUUGCGCCGAAAAAGAUCGGGACUAAGCGAUGUGCCGAAGUUGUGGAUUUACGAAAGUAAGUGGUAGAAGAGCGUUCUAAUGGGGCAGAAGCCUGAGGGGAACCGAGGGUGGACCGAUUAGAAGUGAGAAUCCAGACAUGAGUAACGAUAAGUACGGUGAGAAUCCGUACCGCCGUAAGGACAAGGUUUCCUUGGGAAGGUUCGUCCGCCAAGGGUGAGUCGGGAGCUAAGGUGAGGCCGUAAGGAGUAAUCGAUGCACAACAGGUUAAUAUUCCUGUACCGGCUUGCAAGCGUUAAGAUUCAAGGAGUGACAAAAGAAGCUAGUUCAGCGUCCGGAUGAAAGUGGGCGUCGAAGUAACGAGGCUGUUCGAUAGGCAAAUCCGUCGGGCGUAAGGCUGAGUUGCGAGAGGACGUGGAGGCUAAGGCCGAAGCGGAUUGAAGUGGGCUAUAUUUUCGAGAAAAGCUUCGUGAAGAGUUUGCGAGUUGCCCGUACCGUAAACCGACACAGGUGUCCGAGAUGAGUAUUCUAAGGCGCGUGAGUUAAACCUCCCCAAGGAACUCGGCAAAUUGAUCCUGUAUCCUUGGUAGAAAGGAUGCCUCGCAAGAGGCCGCAGAGAAAUGGCCCAGCCGACUGUUUAGCAAAAACACAGCUCUCUGCCAAGUCGAAAGACGAUGUAUAGGGAGUGACACGUGACCAAUGCGGAAAGGUGAAACUCGGAGGUGCAAGCUUCUGAACUAAGCCCCCGUCAAUGUCGGCCGUAACUAUAACGGUCCUAAGGUAGCGAAAUUCCUUGUCGGGUAAGUUCCGACCUGCACGAAACGUGUAACGAGUUGGGCGCUGUCUCAGGGAGGUGCUCAGUGAAAUUGUAGUCGCGGUGAAAAUGCCGCGUACCCGCAGUAGGACGGAAAGACCCUAUGGACCUUUACUGUAACCUGGUAUUGACGAUUUAUUUUUAAUGCGUAGGAUAAGUGGGAGACGGAGAGCGAAUGCUUCAGGGCAUUUGUGAGUCGACGGUGAAAUACCACUCUUUAAUGAUGAAUCUUCUAACCUUGACCCAUGAGCUGGGCGAGAGACAGUGCUAGGGGGUCAGUUUGACUGGGGCGGUCUCCUCCAAAAGCGUAACGGAGGAUUACGAAGGUCUCCUCAGACCGAUUGGCAAUCGGUUCUAGAGCACAUGAGUAGAAGGAGGCUUUACUGUGAGACCUACAAGUCGAGCAGUUGCGAAAGCAGGUUCAAGUGAUCCGGUAGUGGCGAGU